rnacentral:sRNA from 1 species
AGCUAAACCUGACAGCAGCGAAAAUCCUUUUUGUUUGCAGUAACCUUACCUAUACUGUCAUGCUGAGGCACGAAGCAUCUGCAGCCUAUGAAACGGAUACCUGCAUCAUAGCAUAACAGCACCUCAAAAAGAUUGAAGCGAAUGGCAGGGCUAUCG